rnacentral:tRNA from 1 species
GGUUCCGUAGUGUAGUGGUUAUCACGUUCACUUUACACGUGAAAGGUCCCCAGUUCGAUCCCGGGGGAACCC